AUCUAUCCACAAACCUGACUCUAAGUAAAGACUCUACUCUGCAUGGACUCAAGCUACCUAGAGGCAAUUAGUUUAGGUGCUUCUUAACCCAGGAAAUAAGGGCCAAGCUGCUGCUAUAGACUCAAUUUAUUGGCAUUCUCCCAUAAGGCUGGAGCUGUGAAGAAGAGCUGACCAUAAAAGUGUCAUCUGCUGGCCAUGUUUUCAUCAGAGGCUAGAGAAAAGAAUGAAGGUUUUUGUUUCUUCCCCAUCCUCAGCUGAUAGGGAAGGUGAUAGCUGCCAAAUCCUCUCUUCAUGGGCUGAGAUAGAUCUGAGAUGGACAAAGAGACACACACCUCAUCCAUCAGUCAUCCACAUCUCAAGAACCACCAUGUCUUCGGGAAACCCUCUCCCCCUCCCCCUAGCUCCAGAGUUAUAUCCUCACUGUUGUAAAGCCUAUAAAAACCCCAGAAUUUGUGUCCUCUGGGGACAGCUUUUCCAUCCAUGCUGUUCCCCCUAGGAGGCAACUUUCCACCCAUGUUGCCCUCCUGACCAGAUUCAACAUUACCUUCCAAA
rnacentral:lncRNA from 1 species